rnacentral:rRNA from 1 species
UACGGAGGGUGCAAGCGUUAAUCGGAAUUACUGGGCGUAAAGGGUGUGUAGGCGGCCCGGUAAGUCCGCUGUGAAAGUCCAGGGCUCAACCCUGGGAUGCCGGUGGAUACUGUCGGGCUCGAGUCCGGAAGAGGAGUGUGGAAUUCCUGGUGUAGCGGUGAAAUGCGCAGAUAUCAGGAGGAACACCGGUGGCGAAGGCGGUUCUCUGGGCAUGAUCUGACGCUGAGGAGCGAAAGUGUGGGGAGCGAACAGG